AAAGCCAAGGAAGAGUCUCCUGAAAAAGCGGGAACAAACGCUAUCACCGCCUAUCUCUCCGUCUCCGUCUUUGUCUCUCUUGCUUCACCGCCGCCAUUAACCACUUCCCGGCGGCUCUCAGUACGUGCUCCAAGAUCCGCUUCUUUCCCGCCUUAUUAAUCUACCGCCGUGACACUAGAGAUUUAAAAAAGAAACAAGAAUUUGAGUCGGAGAAAGACGGAGAAUCGAUUGAGGAAAAGUCGGUUAGAUCGUGGAAUUUUCAGUUUCGAACACGAAAACUUCUGAUUUCGCAAUUUGACUAUUUUUCCCGAGCUUUUGAAUCCUUAUUCUCUGGUAAUAAUACAUAACAGGCUUGGAACUCGUGUCCUCUGUGUUUGGCUGUGAAAUCGGUUUCGAAAUGGAACAGAAAAGCAUAUUGUUGUCGGCGUUGAGUGUAGGGGUGGGAGUGGGAGUGGGGCUUGGUUUUGCUUCGGGACAGGCCGUGAGCAAAUGGAGCAGAGCCGGUUCUGGCUCAAACGCCGUCACUCUGGAGAAAAUGGAGCAGGAGAUGCUCCGGCUUAUAGUUGACGGCAGAGAAAGCAAGGUCACGUUCGACCAAUUCCCCUACUACCUCAGUGAGCAGACACGGGUCUUGCUAACAAGUGCUGCCUAUUUCCAUUUGAAGCAUGUAGAUAUUUCGAAGCACACACGAAAUCUUUCUCCUGCAAGUCGGGCUAUUUUGCUCUCUGGACCUACCGAACUUUACCAACAAAUGCUUGCCAAGGCUUUAGCCCAUUUCUUUGAAGCAAAGUUACUACUGUUAGAUGUAACCGACUUUUCACUGAAGAUUCAGAGCAAAUAUGGUAGUGCCAACAAAGAAUAUUCCUUUAGAAGGUCCACUUCAGAGUCAACCUUGGAGCGAUUGUCUGACUUAUUUGGAUCAUUUUCAAUCCUUUCACAGAGGGAGGAUGCUAAAGUUUCAGGUACACUAUGGAGGCAAAGCAGUGGGGCAGAUAUUGGAUCAAGGCCAUCAGAAGCUUCUUCUCAUCCUUCUAAGCUUCGUAGGAAUGCCUCUGCUUCAGCUAACAUCAGCAACCUUGCUUCACAAAGCACUCCUGCAAAUCCAGCUCCUCUCAAACGCACAAGCAGCUGGUCCUUUGACGAGAAGCUUCUUAUACAGUCUCUCUACAGCGUUUUGGUUUUUGUGUCAAAAACCAUGCCCAUUGUGCUGUAUCUUAGGGAUGUUGAUAAAUUCUUGCUUAGAUCACAAAAGAUAUAUAACUUUUUCCAGAAAAUGUUGAAGAAACUGUCUGGAUCAGUGCUGAUCCUUGGUUCACGAGUUAUGGAUCCUGAUAAUGACUAUGGAGAUGUGGACGAGAGGCUUACUGCUCUCUUCCCUUACAAUAUUGAGAUCCGGCCUCCAGAGGAUGAAUCCCAUCUUGUCAGCUGGAAGUCUCAACUGGAGGAAGAUAUGAAGAUGAUCCAAGUUCAAGAUAACAGAAACCACAUCGUGGAAGUACUUUCAUCAAAUGACCUUGAUUGUGAUGAUCUGGAUACAAUCUGUGUGGAAGACACAAUGGUUCUCGGUAACUACAUUGAAGAGAUAGUGGUAUCAGCAAUUUCUUUUCAUUUAAUGAACAAGGAUCCUGAAUACAGAAAUGGAAAACUUGUCAUAUCAUCUAAUAGCUUGUCCCGUGGAUUGAGUAUAUUCCAGGAAGGAAAAUCUGGUGACAAAGAUUCUUUGAAGUUGGAAGCCCAUCCUGAAACAUCUAAGAAUAUUGUUGGGAAAGAGGCUAUUGGCGUGAAGCCAGAAACAAAGGCUGAAAGCAGUACCCGUGAACACAGAAGUGAAGCAGAAACAUCCGCUUCAGUGCCAAAGGCAGAUGGGGAUAAUUCAGUUUCAUCUUCCAAAGCUCCAGAACCCGACAAUGAAUUUGAGAAGCGCAUUAGGCCAGAGGUUAUACCGGCAAAUGAGAUUGAUAUAACCUUUGCUGAUAUUGGUGCAUUAGACGAGAUCAAAGAGUCCCUUCAGGAACUAGUGAUGCUCCCUCUCCGAAGACCAGACCUCUUCAAGGGAGGCCUUCUAAAACCUUGCAAGGGAAUAUUGCUAUUUGGUCCACCUGGCACUGGGAAGACAAUGCUGGCCAAGGCCAUUGCCAAGGAGGCUGGAGCAAGCUUCAUAAAUGUAUCCAUGUCUACCAUCACUUCUAAAUGGUUUGGUGAAGAUGAGAAGAAUGUCCGAGCAUUAUUCACUCUGGCAGCCAAGGUCUCUCCAACCAUUAUAUUUGUAGAUGAGGUUGAUAGCAUGCUUGGGCAGCGGACUAGAGUUGGGGAGCAUGAAGCCAUGCGGAAGAUAAAGAACGAGUUCAUGACUCACUGGGAUGGGCUCUUGACAAAACAGGGUGAAUGCAUCCUUGUUCUCGGUGCAACCAAUAGGCCAUUUGACCUUGAUGAAGCAAUUAUUAGGCGCUUUGAAAGGAGAAUUAUGGUGGGAUUGCCAUCCGUGGAGAACAGGGAAAUGAUCUUCAAAACUCUGUUGGCAAAAGAACAGGUAGAAGAGGGACUAGACUUUAAGGAGCUAGCAACAAUGACAGAAGGAUAUACUGGAAGUGAUCUGAAGAUUUUAUGCACAACUGCUGCUUAUCGGCCAGUCAGAGAGCUAAUACAACAAGAAAGUCUAAAGGUUUUGGAGAAAAAGCAGAGUGCUGCAGAAGGGAAAGAAGUUCAUUCUGCAGGAGGGCAGAUUCCAGGAAGUACUUCAGAGACAAAGGAAGGUCAGGAGGGAGUAAUUACCCUUAGGCCAUUGAACAUGGAAGACUUGAGACGAGCAAAGAAUCAGGCCAUUUUCACUGGAAGAUUCCUUUUUAGAGUACACGGUCACGUUCUGGUAUCCACAACUGUGGAUAUCAUCAGGCUGCUGCAAGCUUUGCAGCUGAAGGAUCUGUAAUGAGUGAGCUGAAGCAGUGGAACGAUUUGUAUGGAGAGGGAGGCUCAAGGAAGAAGCAGCAGUUGACUUACUUCUUAUAAUGAGUGUAACAUGGAGUUGAAGCAGUCAACAAGAAGAUGGUGUCGAAAACAAAGCGCUGAGAAGAGCUUGUCCAUUGAAUAUGCCCUAAUAACUGGUAAUUGAAAAUCUGGAACCAUCAAGUAGUACGGUUGCUAUAGUUUUUGUAGGGAUAAUGUGUGUAAUAAUGCUUCAGACGGAGCUUGUUACAAGUUUUCCUGCUUGAUCCAGAGAAUAAGAACUUGAGCCACCACUAAAGGGUUCUUGUGUCUGUGCCUCCAAUCUAAAACAACUCACUGCUUUUUAAGCAGUGUUGUUUGGGAGUUCCUUUUGACUGAUCAUUAAUAGGUUGAGAGAAUCAAUUAUGAGAAUGUUUAAGAUUAGCAGUACUCGGCAUCUUAAGGAUGCAUGAACAGCUGCUAUGUCGUAAUGGUAAUCAAAAUGAAGUAGAAGUGAAAGUAAUAAGGCCCAAAGGGUUUCAGAAGAUACCAAAUUA